CCUCCUAAAGAAGUCUGCUCGUCCUUACAACACUACAAAACACAACCUCGUUACACGUAGGAGGAGCAGGAAGACCGCAGCAGCGACGACUCAACGGAUUCAUCGAUGCCUCCGCCGCCGCCGCCACCACCUCCUCGAAGCAAGAACCCCGCUCAGCCAAGACCUGGGCGACGAGGCGGUGGAGGAGGAGGCGGCAAGACGUCGGUCAGCGCCAGGAUCGAGCGCAAGUGAAGGAAUCCACGGUGGGGGUGGCAGCGUGCCACUGAUCUCGUAGUGCCUGGGUUCGAGCCCUGUGUCUGAGUCUCUCUCUCUCCGAGUCUCUCUCAGAGGGGGUGUCGCUUGUUGAUCUGUAGCCAAAACGUUUUGUGUUCAAAUAAAAUCGUCUUUAAACGUA